CAUGAAGCAAACAAGGAUAGAGAAAGUCUAUCAUUUACCCUGAGUUUAAGGGAUACCCUGAAGGAAAGGAACCAUGUCAUUGUGAGAUUCUACGAAAGGUCACGGGUGCAGUGGACUAACCCACUGCGAUGUCAUCUCAUAGGUGAUGCUGCCAUUGGAGAGGGCAUGUCCUUUCAAUAUUCAUGUCAAACCUUCAGAAUGGAUUCAUGCUUGAUGACGAAACUGUUAUGGUUAUUCAUUUUUCUUGAAUUGGCAGCUAUGGAGAUUGUUCAGAAAAAACCUGUUUGUGUUAAUAUUAUCAAUUGUUUGACAGAUGUGUAGACAUUGCUGUUUGAAGGUGAGCAGGACCAUCUCAUUCCUUCUACAUCAAGGUUGCUUCUAGAAAGCGACGUUUUUGUGGUGGCGGGUCGCAUUAUCGGCCACAGCUUUCUGAAUGGUGGUCCUCGUCUGGUUGGUCUCAGCCCAGGAAUCAUCCAUGUGCUGUUUGGAGGGGACCCAGAAACAGCCACUGUAACUGAGUCUGAUUGUGCAGACCAAGAUGUCCGUGAAGUCGUAAGAAUGGAAAAAAAAGGAUUCGUCAGAGGAGGAGAAAUCCGUGGUUCUCUCUUUGACGUUGCUAUGGGAUCUUCCUGGAGUUACAGUCAAUAACAGACAUUGGCUCGAAGAAAAAAUACUCCUCCAUGCUGUUUUGGAAAGAACAGAACAACAGGUCAAACAAAUCCGAAGAGGGCUGAAAGACACAGGUGUGUGGGAUUUUUUUAGUUUCAGGCCUGAUGCUGUGCCAGUACUUUUUCCAAGGGCCAGUGAGGCAGAGACAACAGAUGGUAAUCAAUAACAUAAACUGGCCUAAGGAUGGAGAUAUAGAUGAUGACAUACUCACGUUAGAGGAUCACUGUUUGAUCAUGAGCUUCCUCCGAAGAUUCAUAGAAAAUGGAACAUCAGACAUCCUCAAGAGUUUACUAACAUUCUGGACUGGCUGGUUUGUGGUAUGCUCAAACCUCGAGGUCGAAGUUGUUGACUGCAGUCUCCCACAGUUGUCCCCCUGCUUCCUGACUCUGAAGCUAUCCGAAAACCACAAAGACUUCCACCAAAACCUUAUGGCAAGCAUUUCUUUGGCCUACUCUGGUUUUGGUCAGAUUUAAGCUGGGCCAUUUAAACAUUGUCUAACAAGUUUAUCAAUCGCAGAAUGUUCUAUGAAUGUUGUUGGUUAUCAGAAUUACUAUUAUUAAACUGUUCUUACGGUUCAGUCUCUUGAUAGACAUGGAUAUUCUGGAUCCAUUUAAUACCAAAAAGUAAGAGGAUAAUCCGCUUGUUAAUUAUGUAUUACAACAGUUCUCAGCAUUGUUGUUCAGAUCAACUAUUAAAACACUUCCAUAUUAUUGUUGGACAUUUUCUGUUGAUGCACACUCAUGUAUUAGCUGUUAUCUGGUUUCACAAACAACAGAAUCACCAACUAUGUUCCUGAAAAUGUUUGUUAAAACAAUAAGAGAUUAGACCAACAAAGUAAUUACAAACUGUUAAAUGUGAUGUUAUCAACAAAUUCUUAAUGAAAACUGAAAUGGUGUCAUAACAGUGAUUUUAUUACAAUAUAUCUGUGCAAACAGGUCAAUGUUUAGAUGUUUAGAUACAAAAUGUCUAACCUAAUAUAUUGUAUGUUCACGGCAAAUAUCGAAUAUAACAACAGGUAUACCACUGUGUAUUGUUCUGCUGUCUGAAUAAAAAAAAUAAUUUAAAAGAAAAAAAACGCCAUUUCUAUCACAAAGAUCUAAAUGUCACAACUGUUGUGCCAAAAGAGGCACAGAUGCAUGUUGAUGAGAAGCAACUACCCUCAAGAAAAAGGCAUGUUGAUACGUUUCCAAAAAACAAACUUGCACCUACUCUGUAUCAAGAAAAUCUUUGUAAGCUGUAACCUAAAUAUUUUUCAAAUAUUGCAGUCAGUACAACAAUUGUCUGAUGAUAAACAUUUAUCACAUUAGAAAACAAGCCAGUUGGAUCUGGUAGUGUUUCAAAUUCCGCAUAAAAAAAUGAAAGCUGCUUCUCCAUGUUUGGUUCUGUUUUUGGGGAUGCAGAGCAGAUUGGAAUCAGAAGACCUGAGUGGU